GUCUUCGAGUCGUUGAUUUCACACUGCCGAGAAAAGCCUCUAGAUAGAAAAUAGGUGCCCGUACCGCAAACCGACACAGGUAGUCAAGAUGAGAAUUCUAAGGUGAGCGAGCGAACUCUCGUUAAGGAACUCGGCAAAAUGACCCCGUAACUUCGGGAGAAGGGGUGCUCUUUAGGGUUAACGCCCAGAAGAGCCGCAGUGAAUAGGCCCAAGCGACUGUUUAUCAAAAACACAGGUCUCUGCUAAACCGUAAGGUGAUGUAUAGGGGCUGACGCCUGCCCGGUGCUGGAAGGUUAAGAGGAGUGGUUAGCUUCUGCGAAGCUACGAAUCGAAGCCCCAGUAAACGGCGGCCGUAACUAUAACGGUCCUAAGGUAGCGAAAUUCCUUGUCGGGUAAGUUCCGACCCGCACGAAAGGCGUAACGAUUUGGGCACUGUCUCAACGAGAGACUCGGUGAAAUCAUAGUACCUGUGAAGAUGCAGGUUACCCGCGACAGGACGGAAAGACCCCGUGGAGCUUUACUGUAGCCUGAUAUUGAAAUUCGGCACAGCUUGUACAGGAUAGGUAGGAGCCUUUGAAACGUG
rnacentral:rRNA from 1 species